rnacentral:tRNA from 1 species
UGAUAAUUAGUUUAACUUAAAACAAGUGAUUUCGACUCACUAAAUGAUGUACUAACAUACUUAUCAA